rnacentral:rRNA from 1 species
UACGUAGGUGGCAAGCGUUAUCCGGAAUUACUGGGCGUAAAGCGCGCGUAGGCGGCUUUGCAAGUCGGGUGUGAAAUCCCCAGGCUUAACCUGGGAACUGCAUUCGAGACUGCAUUGCUAGAGUAUGGGAGAGGGAAGUGGAAUUUCCGGUGUAGCGGUGAAAUGCGUAGAUAUCGGAAGGAACAUCAGUGGCGAAAGCGACUUCCUGGACCAAUACUGACGCUCAUGUGCGAAAGCGUGGGGAGCAAACAGG